rnacentral:rRNA from 1 species
UACGUAGGAUGCGAGCGUUAUCCGGAUUUAUUGGGUUUAAAGGGUGCGUAGGCGGGAUGCCAAGUCAGCGGUAAAAAUGCGGUGCUCAACGCCGUCGGGCCGUUGAAACUGGCGUUCUUGAGUGGGCGAGAAGUAUGCGGAAUGCGUGGUGUAGCGGUGAAAUGCAUAGAUAUCACGCAGAACUCCGAUUGCGAAGGCAGCAUACCGGCGCCCUACUGACGCUGAGGCACGAAAGCGUGGGUAUCGAACAGG